AAGUCGUAACAAGGUUUCCGUAGGUGAACCUGCGGAAGGAUCAUUAGUGAAUUGAAUAUGUUAGCGGACCUCUUCGGAGUCCCUAGCAUCAAAUCAUAUCCAUAACACCUGUGAACUGUAAGGCCGUCUUGAAAACGAAAGUGAUUAGAGCGCCUGCCCAUUUUAUACAAACAUUAAAGUAACAAACGUAGUCUUAUUAUAAUCUAAUAAAACUUUCAACAACGGAUCUCUUGGCUCUCGCAUCGAUGAAGAACGCAGCGAAAUGCGAUAAGUAAUGUGAAUUGCAGAAUUCAGUGAAUCAUCGAAUCUUUGAACGCACCUUGCGCUCUUUGGUAUUCCGAAGAGCAUGCCUGUUUGAGUGUCAUGAAAAUAUCAACCUUGACUUGGGUUUAGUGCUCUUGUCUUGGCUUGGAUUUGGCUGUUUGCCGCUCGAAAGAGUCGGCUCAGCUUAAAAGUAUUAGCUGGAUCUGUCUUUGAGACUUGGUUUGACUUGGCGUAAUAAGUUAUUUCGCUGAGGACAAUCUUCGGAUUGGCCGAGUUUCUGGGACGUUUGUCCGCUUUCUAAUACAAGUUCUAGCUUGCUAGACAUGACUUUUUAUUAUCUGGCCUCAAAUCAGGUAGGACUACCCGCUGAACUUAAGCAUAUCAAUAAGCGGAGGAAAAGAAACUAACAAGGAUUCCCCUAGUAACGGCGAGUGAGGCGGGAAGAGCUCAAAUUUGAAAUCUGGUGGCCUCAGGCUAUCCGAGUUGUAAUCUAUAGAANCAUUUUCCGCGUUGGCCCAUGUACAAGUCUCUUGGAAUAGAGCGUCAUAGAGGGUGAGAAUCCCGUCCUUGACAUGGACUACCAGUGCUUUGUGAUAUGUUUUCAACGAGUCGAGUUGUUUGGGAAUGCAGCUCAAAAUGGGUGGUAAAUUCCAUCUAAAGCUAAAUAUUGGCGAGAGACCGAUAGCGAACAAGUACCGUGAGGGAAAGAUGAAAAGCACUUUGGAAAGAGAGUUAAACAGUAUGUGAAAUUGUUGAAAGGGAAACGAUUGAAGUCAGUCGUGUCUAUUGGACUCAGCCGGUUCUGCCGGUGUACUUCCUUUAGAUGGGGUCAACAUCAGUUUUGAUCGCUGGAAAAGGGCAGGAGGAAUGUAGCACUCUCGGGUGAACUUAUAGCCUUCUGUCGCAUACAGUGGUUGGGACUGAGGAACGCAGCUUGCCUUUAUGGCCGGGAUUUAUCCACGUACAAGCUUAGGAUGUUGACAUAAUGGCUUUAAACGACC
rnacentral:rRNA from 1 species